rnacentral:rRNA from 1 species
UGCAGUCGAGCGGGGAGAUGUAGCUUGCUACCUUACCUAGCGGCGGACGGGUGAGUAAUGCUUAGGAAUCUGCCUAUUAGUGGGGGACAACAUUCCGAAAGGAAUGCUAAUACCGCAUACGCCCUACGGGGGAAAGCAGGGGAUCUUCGGACCUUGCGCUAAUAGAUGAGCCUAAGUCAGAUUAGCUAGUUGGUGGGGUAAAGGCCUACCAAGGCGACGAUCUGUAGCGGGUCUGAGAGGAUGAUCCGCCACACUGGGACUGAGACACGGCCCAGACUCCUACGGGAGGCAGCAGUGGGGAAUAUUGGACAAUGGGCGAAAGCCUGAUCCAGCCAUGCCGCGUGUGUGAAGAAGGCCUUUUGGUUGUAAAGCACUUUAAGCGAGGAGGAGGCUACUUGGAUUAAUACUCUAGGAUAGUGGACGUUACUCGCAGAAUAAGCACCGGCUAACUCUGUGCCAGCAGCCGCGGUAAUACAGAGGGUGCGAGCGUUAAUCGGAUUUACUGGGCGUAAAGCGUGCGUAGGCGGCUUCUUAAGUCGGAUGUGAAAUCCCUGAGCUUAACUUAGGAAUUGCAUUCGAUACUGGGAAGCUAGAGUAUGGGAGAGGAUGGUAGAAUUCCAGGUGUAGCGGUGAAAUGCGUAGAGAUCUGGAGGAAUACCGAUGGCGAAGGCAGCCAUCUGGCCUAAUACUGACGCUGAGGUACGAAAGCAUGGGGAGCAAACAGGAUUAGAUACCCUGGUAGUCCAUGCCGUAAACGAUGUCUACUAGCCGUUGGGGCCUUUGAGGCUUUAGUGGCGCAGCUAACGCGAUAAGUAGACCGCCUGGGAGUACGGUCGCAAGACUAAAACUCAAAUGAAUUGACGGGGGCCCGCACAAGCGGUGGGAGCAUGUGGUUUAAUUCGAUGCAACGCGAAGAACCUUACCUGG